rnacentral:misc_RNA from 1 species
GAUGAAGAACGUAGCGAAAUGCGAUAAGUAAUGUGAAUUGCAGAAUUCAGUGAAUCAUCGAAUCUUUGAACGCAUCUUGCGCUCCUUGGGAUUCUGAGGAGCAUGCCUGUUUGUGUGUCAUUAAAUUCUCAACUACACUGACUUUGAAUUGGUGUGGCUUGGAUUUGGGGGGAAAAUUGUUGUGGGCUUUUUGUAUAGUCUGCUCCCCUGAAAUUGAUUAGCGGUACCUUUGUGGAACUGUCUACAGGUGUGAUAAUUAUCUACAUCUUAGACAUCUGCUGGAAUGCUGCUUUCUAAACCUUACUUGUAUUGACAAUCUUGACCUCAAAUCAGGUAGGACUACCCGCUGAACUUAAGCAUAUCAAUAAGCGGAGGA